rnacentral:rRNA from 1 species
ACACGAAGCUGGAAUCGCUAGUAAUCGCAGAUCAGAAUGCUGCGGUGAAUACGUUCCCGGGUCUUGUACACACCGCCCGUCACACCAUGGGAGUCGGAAAUGCCCGAAGCCGGUGACCCAACCAAAAGGAGGGAGCCGUCGAAGGCAGGUCUGAUAACUGGGGUGAAGUCGUAACAAGGUACC